UAGGCCUUAUGAAGGUGUCAUUAGGCCUUAUGAAGGGUUUAUGAAGGUGUCAUUAGGCCUUAUGAAGGGUUUAUGAAGGUGUCAUUAGGCCUUAUGAAGGGUUUAUGAAGGUGUCAUUAGGCCUUAUGAAGGGUUUAUGAAGGUGUCAUUAGGCCUUAUGAAGGGCUUAUGAAGGUGUCAUUAGGCCUUAUGAAGGGUUUAUGAAGGUGUCAUUAGGCCUUAUGAAGGGUUUAUGAAGGUGUCAUUAGGCCUUAUGAAGGGUUUAUGAAGGUGUCAUUAGGCCUUAUGAAGGGUUUAUGAAGGUGUCAUUAGGCCUUAUGAAGGGCUUAUGAAGGUGUCAUUAGGCCUUAUGAAGGGUUUAUGAAGGUGUCAUUAGGCCUUAUGAAGGGCUUAUGAAGGUGUCAUUAGGCCUUAUGAAGGGUUUAUGAAGGUGUCAUUAGGCCUUAUGAAGGGUUUAUGAAGGUGUCAUUAGGCCUUAUGAAGGGUUUAUGAAGGUGUCAUUAGGCCUUAUGAAGGGUUUAUGAAGGUGUCAUUAGGCCUUAUGAAGGGUUUAUGAAGGUGUCAUUAGGCCUUAUGAAGGGCUUAUGAAGGUGUCAUUAGGCCUUAUGAAGGGCUUAUGAAGGUGUCAUUAGGCCUUAUGAAGGGCUUAUGAAGGGUUUAUGAAGGUGUCAUUAGGCCUUAUGAAGGGUUUAUGAAGGUGUCAUUGGGCCUUAUGAAGGGCUUAUGAAGGGCUUAUGAAGGUGUCAUUAGGCCUUAUAGGGCAUCUGCACUUCCUGAUUUGGCCUUGUUUUUCAUCAAAGAAAUGUUAGCAGCCAUGACUGAAGGCAAACAGGAGUUGUCUUGGGGGUUUGAUAUGGGGGUUUGAUAUGGGGGUUUCUUGGGUGUGUCUUUGCCAUUCAAUCACACCGAAGAGCAGUAGUCGGUACAGCGAGGUAAACUAAACUAGCUUUUCCAUGGAGAGAAUUAAGUUUUGAAGUUGAGUACUUCUCCCCUCCUGACAAGACCUGCCACCUCAAGAUGGUCAGUUCUACGCUAAAGCCUGUAUGGACCUUGUGUUUAGCCAAGCUGACAGCAGCUAGCUAGCAUAGCUUGGUGAUUGCUGCAGCUGGCUAUACUAUGAUAACGCAGUACUCCGGGCCAAGGGCACAACGGCCACUGGCCACAAAAGGCAUGGAUUUUUUUUAGGGGCAUUAUGGCCACACAAAUGGGAUGCCGCCGUGAAAUUCUGUCAAAUUGUGAGAGACUGAUGUUGUGUGUGCAGCCCGGGCAAAAAAAACUAACCAGAGCUCAUGCCUUUCAAGUGACUGUUUUCAAAUGAUCAUCAGAGUCGCAUCAUGGAGCCUUACAAUGUAUUAAAAAUCAAAACAUAUAGCCCAACGUUUGUAAAACAACUAAAGUUACAUAAAUAACUCUCAAUGAAGCAUAUAGGAGUACCUAUGUUUUUGUUAACCACUCAACACAUAAUAAAUAGCCUUAUGUGCACACUUCCUCAAAUCGUUAAUCGGUGUCCCUUCCACGGGACAGCUAACGUAGGCUAAAGCGAUUAGCAUGAGGUUGAGCUAACGUAGGCUAAUGCGAUUAGCAUGAGGUUGAGCUAACGUAGGCUAAUGCGAUUAGCAUGAGGUUGAGCUAACGUAGGCUAAUGCGAUUAGCAUGAGGUUGAGCUAACGUAGGCUAAUGCGAUUAGCAUGAGGUUGAGCUAACGUAGGCUAAUGCGAUUAGCAUGAGGUUGAGCUAACGUAGGCUAAUGCGAUUAUCAUGAGGUUAUAAGUAACAAGAACACAUUUCCCAGGACAUAGACAUGUCUGAUAUUUGCAUAAAGCUUAAAUUAUUGUUAAUCAAAUUGCAUUGGCCAAUUUACAGUAGCUAUUACAGUGAAAUAAUACCAUGCCAUUGUUUGAGGAGAGUGCACACUUUUGAACAAGAAAAGUUAUUAAUAAACAAAUUAGGCACAAAUUAGGCACAGCAGUCUUAAAACAACAUUUUGAACAGAAAUGCAAUGGUUCAUUGGAUGAGUCUGAAACUUUGCACAUACACUGCUGCCAUCUAGUGGCCAAAAUCGAAAUUGCAACUGGGCUGGAAAAAUACAUUAUGGCCUUUCUCUUGCAUUUCAAAGGUGAUGGUACAAAAGAACAGUUGUUUUUUUUCUUUGUAUUAUCUUUUACCAGAUCUAUUGUCAUAUAUUCAACUACAUUCUUUUCACAUGGUCAUAAACUUCAAAGUGUUUUCUUUCAAAUGGUACCAAGAAUAUGCAUAUCCUUGCUUCAGGGCCUGAGCUACAGGCAGUUAGAUUUGGGUUUGUCAUUUUAGAAGAAAAUUGAAAAAAGAGGGGGGGGAUCCUUUUAUUCAGCUUUGUUCAAUAGUUUUUUUCGUACUUUAAAAGAAUGCCUAGGAAUACGAUGCACAUCUUGUCUGCUAAAUUAAUUAGUGUAGCCCACAGCCAUUUGGCAUGGCCAGAUCAGGACCUAACAUAAGGACAACUCAGAGUAUGUUAUUCUGUUCUUCUGAAAUAGUCUACAUUUUCUUCAUAUUAUGCUUCUUUAGACCUGUCUAAAAUACAUGUUGGAUUAAUUGUGAAGGUCUAGACUAUAUCACCGGCUGACAAAAUGUUGUGAAUGCCACAGCCCUAAUCCUAUCUGCAUGAUAUUUCUAUGGCUAGAUAGUAAGAGCCACCAGAACAAUGUUUCUGACUCCUAUCGAUGCCACAAAGGCUUUCAAAAGGAGAAGUUGGUUUUCCAAGGGCAGUUGACUUUAAAAAAAAAGUAGUGUCAUUUAAAAUUGGGACCACU